AGCACCGUAGCACAGCUGGAAGUGCGCCGGUCUCAUAUCUUGGCUGGUCCCGAGCUUUGAGUAAUCCGGAGGUCGCUUGAUCGAAACAAGCCGUUGCUA